rnacentral:rRNA from 1 species
AUUGAACGCUGGCGGCAGGCCUAACACAUGCAAGUCGAGCGGAUGAAGGGAGCUUGCUCCUGGAUUCAGCGGCGGACGGGUGAGUAAUGCCUAGGAAUCUGCCUGGUAGUGGGGGAUAACGUCCGGAAACGGGCGCUAAUACCGCAUACGUCCUGAGGGAGAAAGUGGGGGAUCUUCGGACCUCACGCUAUCAGAUGAGCCUAGGUCGGAUUAGCUAGUUGGUGGGGUAAAGGCCUACCAAGGCGACGAUCCGUAACUGGUCUGAGAGGAUGAUCAGUCACACUGGAACUGAGACACGGUCCAGACUCCUACGGGAGGCAGCAGUGGGGAAUAUUGGACAAUGGGCGAAAGCCUGAUCCAGCCAUGCCGCAUGUGUGAAGAAGGUCUUCGGAUUGUAGAGCACUUUAAGUUGGGAGGAAGGGCAGUAAGUUAAUACCUUGCUGUUUUGACGUUACCAACAGAAUAAGCACCGGCUAACUUCGUG